UACUUUAAAAUUAACUGACAACACUAAUACUGUUGCCGUCGCUGCCUAAGCAGUGACCGUCUGAACCGGAGAGGCCGCGGGCCGGGGAAGGCGUCGUUGACGCGGCGUCCGUGAGGCGGGUAAGAGUUGCCCCGCCCACGCAUCAUGACUCUACCAAACCGCAAAGUCUGUUAAGUGCCUUUGCGGGGCGGGAAUUCUGAAACUUAACUGCGCCCGGAGAAAGUCUUGUCAAAACGCUUUCGGACAGGGGUUCGACUCCCCUCGCCUCCACCA
rnacentral:tmRNA from 1 species